UGGGGAAUUUUGGACAAUGGGCGCAAGCCUGAUCCAGCCAUGCCGCGUGCGGGAAGAAGGCCUUCGGGUUGUAAACCGCUUUUGUCAGGGAAGAAACGGCUCUUACUAAUAUUAGGAGCUAAUGACGGUACCUGAAGAAUAAGCACCGGCUAACUACGUGCCAGCAGCCGCGGUAAUACGUAGGGUGCAAGCGUUAAUCGGAAUUACUGGGCGUAAAGCGUGCGCAGGCGGCUUUGCAAGACAGAUGUGAAAUCCCCGGGCUCAACCUGGGAACUGCAUUUGUGACUGCAUGGCUAGAGUACGGUAGAGGGGGAUGGAAUUCCGCGUGUAGCAGUGAAAUGCGUAGAUAUGCGGAGGAACACCGAUGGCGAAGGCAAUCCCCUGGACCUGUACUGACGCUCAUGCACGAAAGCGUGGGGAGCAAACAGGAUUAGAUACCCCUGUAGUCC
rnacentral:rRNA from 1 species